rnacentral:rRNA from 1 species
UGAUCCAGCCAUGCCGCGUGUGUGAAGAAGGCCUUCGGGUUGUAAAGCACUUUAAGUUGGGAAGAAGGGCUCCCGGUUAAUACCUUGUUGUUUUGACGUUACCGACAGAAUAAGCACCGGCUAACUCUGUGCCAGCAGCCGCGAUAAU